UGGUCCAGUGAUGACCACUCGUGGCAUUGAGUCAUGCAUCGUGUAUAGUAUAUUUCAACAACUGUGACCUG
rnacentral:snoRNA from 1 species